GGUCCGCUGGCUUAAUGGCAGAGUGUCUGACUAGGUAUCAGGAGGUUUCAGGUUGGACCCCUGGGAGAAUCG
rnacentral:tRNA from 2 species